rnacentral:rRNA from 1 species
UACGUAGGGUGCGAGCGUUGUCCGGAUUUAUUGGGCGUAAAGGGCUCGUAGGCGGCGUGUCGCGUCGGGAGUGAAAGACCGGGGCUUAACCCCGGUUCUGCUUCCGGUACGGGCAUGCUGGAGUGUGGCAGGGGAGACUGGAAUACUUGGUGUAGCAGUGAAAUGCGUAGAUAUCAAGUGGAACACCAGUGGCGAAGGCGAGUCUCUGGACAUUUCCUGACGCUGAGGCACGAAAGCCAGGGGAGCAAACGGG